rnacentral:sRNA from 1 species
UUGAACACUAUCUUUAUAGUUUUCAUCUGAUAAAACCCAUUUGUUUACCUUAUACCAUAUUGCUUCCACUGGACAGGUUAAAUAUGUAUUUGAUUAUAUAUGUUGGCCCUUUAGUUAAUUGCUAUUUCAUAGAUAAUAAACUAGAGAGUAGCCAGUGGAUGAAAACAACCAAAUUAAAAAACCUCUGUAAAAACAAAUAUUGUCUGAAUUUGAAUUGUAAAUGAAAAUAAAACUUUCAACAACGGAUCUCUAGGCUCUUGUAUCGAUGAAGAACGCAGUAAAAUGCGAUAAGUAAUGUGAAUUGCAGAAUCUCGUGAAUCAUUGAAUCUUUGAACGCACAUUGCGCCCUAUAGAAUUCUGUAGGGCAUGCCUGUCUGAGUGUCAUUAGUCACUAUCAGAUCUUUGAUUAUUUUUAUAAUCUUUGAUUUGGAUUUAUUUAGAGAUGUAAUCUAUAUUUAUCAGAUUACCCUUUGGAAAAAUAAAAGGCAGCCAAUUUAAAAAUUAGCAUUAAGCGUAAUAUUCAAACAUUUCGCUUAUGGUAUAUAAUUAUGGCUUGUCUAUAACCCACUUAAUUUUUUGG